rnacentral:rRNA from 1 species
GACGAACGCUGGCGGCGUGCUUAACACAUGCAAGUCGAACGGUGACCCAGGGCUUGCCCUGGUGAUCAGUGGCGAACGGGUGAGUAACACGUGGGCAACCUGCCCCUGACUUCGGGAUAACUCCUCGAAAGAGGAGCUAAUACCGGAUACGACCACUUCGGACAUCCGAUGGUGGUGGAAAGUUUUUCGGUCAGGGAUGGGCCCGCGGCCUAUCAGCUAGUUGGUGGGGUAAUGGCCUACCAAGGCGACGACGGGUAGCCGGCCUGAGAGGGCGACCGGCCACACUGGGACUGAGACACGGCCCAGACUCCUACGGGAGGCAGCAGUGGGGAAUAUUGCGCAAUGGGCGAAAGCCUGACGCAGCGACGCCGCGUGAGGGAUGAAGGCCUCGGUUGUAAACCUCUUUCAGCAGGACGAAGCGAAAGUGACGGUACCUGACAGAAGAAGCACCGGCUAACUACGUGCCAGCAG